GAGGAAAAGAAACUAACAAGGAUUCCCCUAGUAACUGCGAGUGAAGCGGGAAAAGCUCAAAUUUAAAAUCUGGCAGUCUUUGGCUGUCCGAGUUGUAGUCUGGAGAAGCGUCUUCCGCGCUGGACCGUGUACAAGUCUCCUGGAACGGAGCGUCAUAGAGGGUGAGAAUCCCGUCUUUGACACGGACUACCAGUGCUCUGUGAUGCGCUCUCAAAGAGUCGAGUUGUUUGGGAAUGCAGCUCAAAAUGGGUGGUAAACUCCAUCUAAAGCUAAAUAUUGGCGAGAGACCGAUAGCGAACAAGUACCGUGAGGGAAAGAUGAAAAGCACUUUGGAAAGAGAGUUAAACAGUACGUGAAAUUGCUGAAAGGGAAACGCUUGAAGUCAGUCGCGUUUGCUAGGACUCAGCCUUGCCUCGGCGUGGUGCAUUUCCUAGUAGACGGGCCAGCAUCACUUUUGGCUGCGGGAAAAAGGUCAGAGAAAUGUGGCACCUUUUGGUGUGUUAUAGUCUCUGGCUGUAUACCGUGGCUGGGAGUGAGGAACUCAGCAUGCCUUUAUGGCGGGGCUUCGGCUACCUUCAUGCUUAGGAUGCUGGCGUAAUGGCUUUAAACGACCCGUCUUGAAACACGGACCAAGGAGUCUAACAUGCCUGCGAGUGUUUGGGUGGAAAACCCGAGCGCGCAAUGAAAGUGAAAGUUGGGACCUCUGUCGUGGAGGGCACCGACGCCCGGACCAGACCUUCGGUGACGGAUCUGCGGUAGAGCAUGUAUGUUGGGACCCGAAAGAUGGUGAACUAUGCCUGAAUAGGGUGAAGCCAGAGGAAACUCUGGUGGAGGCUCGUAGCGAUUCUGACGUGCAAAUCGAUCGUCAAAUUUGGGUAUAGGGGCGAAAGACUAAUCGAACCAUCUAGUAGCUG
rnacentral:rRNA from 1 species